CCUACAGGAGGCAGCAGUGGGGAAUAUUGCACAAUGGGCGGAAGCCUGAUGCAGCGACGCCGCGUGAGGGACGAAGGCCUUCGGGUUGUAAACCUCUUUCAGCAGGGACGAAGCGUGAGUGACGGUACCUGCAGAAGAAGCACCGGCUAACUACGUGCCAGCAGCCGCGGUAAUACGUAGGGUGCGAGCGUUGUCCGGAAUUACUGGGCGUAAAGAGUUCGUAGGCGGUUUGUCGCGUCGUUUGUGAAAACCCGGGGCUCAACUUCGGGCUUGCAGGCGAUACGGGCAGACUUGAGUGUUUCAGGGGAGACUGGAAUUCCUGGUGUAGCGGUGAAAUGCGCAGAUAUCAGGAGGAACACCGGUGGCGAAGGCGGGUCUCUGGGAAACAACUGACGCUGAGGAACGAAAGCGUGGGUAGCAAACAGGAUUAGAUACCCUGGUAGUCCACGCCGUAAACGGUGGGCGCUAGGUGUGGGUUCCUUCCACGGGAUCUGUGCCGUAGCUAACGCAUUAAGCGCCCGCCUGGGGAGUACGGCCGCAAGGCUAAAACUCAAAUGAAUUGACGG
rnacentral:rRNA from 1 species